rnacentral:rRNA from 1 species
UACGGAGGGUGCAAGCGUUAAUCGGAAUUAUUGGGCGUAAAGAGCGCGCAGGCGGUCGUUCAAGUCGAGUGUGAAAGCCCCCGGCUCAACUGGGGAGGGUCACUCGAUACUGAUCGACUCGAAGGCAGGAGAGGGAAGUGGAAUUCCCGGUGUAGUGGUGAAAUGCGUAGAUAUCGGGAGGAACACCAGUGGCGAAGGCGACUUCCUGGCCUGUUCUUGACGCUGAGGCGCGAAAGCUAGGGGAGCAAACGGG